rnacentral:rRNA from 1 species
CGCCGCCGCGGGAAUACGAAGGGUGCAAGCGUUACUCGGAAUUACUGGGCGUAAAGCGUGCGUAGGUGGUGGUUUAAGUCCGUUGUGAAAGCCCUGGGCUCAACCUGGGAAUUGCAGUGGAUACUGGGUCACUAGAGUGUGGUAGAGGAUAGUGGAAUUUCCGGUGUAGCAGUGAAAUGCGUAGAGAUCGGAAGGAACAUCUGUGGCGAAGGCGACUAUCUGGGCCAACACUGACACUGAGGCACGAAAGCGUGGGGAGCAAACAGGAUUAGAUACCCGCGUAGUCCCUGUCUCUUAUACA